AUUCAUGCAGCCUUUGCGUAUUGACAGAAUUUCGGCAUGCUGCAAGCAUUUUGACCACCCAUAUUACGGAAUCUAAACGGACGUUUUAGUCUAAUUAUUUGCUAAUAUCUCAGCACUAAAGACAUGAAUCCAUGAACAAAAAAGUUCAAACCUGGAAGGAAUGGUACCUCCAGCUCCAGUGCCAGUGAACUCUAGUAGUCCCAUGAAGGGGCCCAUGAACGAUUGUCGUUAUCGACUUACACACACACACACAGUACGGACGAUCUCCGCACCACCGACUUCAGUCUGAACAAAGAUUUUGUCUUGGGAAGACAUGGCAUCAUUCUAGAAGAGGCGUGCUUGAUACCGUUAUAUCGCCAGACGAACCCAUACAUUGAACGACCUGUGUAUAACAGACUUACGUCUCAAAGCCAGCAACCUGGUCGUGACACUUUCUUGCUGAGAUCGUUCAGACCACGAAACCCCGCCCACUUUUGCGUUCAGACAAGCGCAUGCCCAUGUUUUUGCGAACCAUACAGACAAUCGUUCAGUGUAUGGUGACCUUAAGUCUGCAGGGAAAGCGAAGUUGCCUCACAGACGAAUUUUGUUCUGCUACAUAUGAUGGGUGCCUCUUCUAUGAUGGCAAAAGUGAUGCUUAUUCUGUCACACGGAACAAAUUGGUUACUAAAUAAACGAAAAUUCUGCAGCUACUACUGUUUACUUACUUUGUAUACUUUGGUGAUAACAUGCAAAAGAAGUCAGUAAUCGUACUCAUGUUAUUAUGGUUUGUCAAAACCGAAAGAAUAUUAAGUCAAAUAUCUCUGAAAGUAGGUAUGUAACGCUUUUCGUUAGACUAACUUCUACUUAGAUUGUAGUUAUUACUGAAUUCUAAUUGUUAUGUAGUCUAAUCGUGUAAAUUUCAAAGAAAUACUAGGUGUAGCGAAUACAUCCUGGACCUUCUAUUGGAGUCACGUGACUCACGUCACGAGUAAAGAAAAAGUUUCACACUAAACUAUAAAACUAGCCAGACAUAUCUUGUACUUGUGUUCGCUCGUGGUAACGCCCUUCCCCGCGCUGGUAUUCAGUCCAGUACGAAAUGUAGUGCGUUUUUUUUAUGGAAUUUCUGGAUAUUUUUUGACGAAAUUAUGUGGAGAAAAUCUCAGCGUAAGGGCCUAGGAACAUAGUACAGUGAUUCCGAACGAUGUUCAAGAAGUAGUAAGAUGCCUACUGGUUUUACCCUGAGGACGACCUCGCCCUCUUUGACGUCCCCGUCCUCUAGACCUAGCAGGUGGCGAUGGUGUAGAUGGAGGUGAGGGGACAUCAGAGGCAUCAGAACCAGCCUCGUCGUCAUCAUCAUCAACAUCUUCCUCUAAUUCCUCUACCUCAA